rnacentral:rRNA from 1 species
UACGGGGGGGGCAAGCGUUGUUCGGAAUUACUGGGCGUAAAGCGCGUGUAGGCGGCAAUACAAGUCGGAUGUGAAAUCCCGCGGCUUAACCGUGGAAGUGCACCCGAAACUGUAUCGCUAGAGUCCCGGAGAGGAUGGUGGAAUACUUGGUGUAGAGGUGAAAUUCGUAGAUAUCAAGUGGAACACCGGUGGCGAAGGCGGCCAUCUGGACGGUGACUGACGCUGAGACGCGAAAGCGUGGGGAGCGAACAGG